rnacentral:rRNA from 1 species
AUUGAACGCUGGCGGCAGGCCUAACACAUGCAAGUCGAGCGAGCGGCGGACGGGUGUGUAAUGUAUGGGGCUCUGCUAGACAGAGCGGGAUAACUACUGGAAACGGUGGCUAAUACUGCAGAUUAUCGGAAGAACGCAGAUGGGAUUAGCUAGUUGGUGGGGUAAGGGCACGCCUAGGCGACGAUCUCUAGCUGGUCUGAGAGGAGGACCAGCCCAACUGGGACUGAUGCACGACCCAGGCGCCUGCGUGAGGCAGCGUUGGGGAAUAUUGCACAAUGGGCGCCAGCGUAAUGCAGCCAUGCCGCGUGUAUGAAGAAGGCCUUGGGGUUGUGAAGUACUUUCAGCGGGGAGGCGUUACCCGCAGAAGAAGCACCGGCUAACUCCGUGCCAGCAGCCGCGGUAAUAC